CAGCAGCCGCGGGAAUACGAAGGGGGCUAGCGUUGCUCGGAAUGACUGGGCGUAAAGGGCGCGUAGGCGGCGAUCAAAGUCAGGCGUGAAAUUCCUGGGCUCAACCUGGGGGCUGCGCUUGAUACUUGGUUGCUUGAGUGGGGAAGAGGGUCGUGGAAUUCCCAGUGUAGAGGUGAAAUUCGUAGAUAUUGGGAAGAACACCGGUGGCGAAGGCGGCGACCUGGUCCUUGACUGACGCUGAGGCGCGAAAGCGUGGGGAGCAAAAGGAUUAGAUACCCGCGUAGUCCCUGUCUCUUAUACA
rnacentral:rRNA from 1 species